UACGUAGGGUGCGAGCGUUAAUCGGAAUUACUGGGCGUAAAGUGUGCGCAGGCGGCCGCGCAAGUCGAGUGUGAAAGCCCCGGGCUUAACUUGGGAAUUGCGCUCGAAACUACGUGGCUAGAGUGUGGCAGAGGGAGGUGGAAUUCCACGUGUAGCGGUGAAAUGCGUAGAGAUGUGGAGGAACACCGAUGGCGAAGGCAGCCUCCUGGGCCAACACUGACGCUCACGCACGAAAGCGUGGGGAGCAAACAGG
rnacentral:rRNA from 1 species